GGGCCUGGAGCACGCAGACCUCUCCGGCUUAACGCUCAUCUCGGUGUUUGCGGCACUCUCCACUUCUCUCCCAGGCGACGAGACCUAACGGUUAGAAAUCCACCAUGUCUAUUCUCAAGAUCCAUUCUACGGAGAUCUUUGACUCUCGUGGGAAUCCCACUGUUGAGUUUGAUCUCUUUACCGCAAACGGUCUAUUCAGAGCUGCUGUGCCCAGUGGUGCUUCAACUGGUAUCUAUGAGGCCCUAGAGCUCCGGGACAAUGAUAAGACUCGCUAUAUGGGGAAGGGUGUCUCAAAGGCUGUUGAGCACAUCAAUAAAACUAUUGUGCCUGCCCUGGUUAGCAAGAAACUGAAUGUCACAGAACAAGAGAAGAUUGACAAACUGAUGAUCGAGAUGGAUGGAACAGAAAAUAAAUCUAAGUUUGGUGCGAAUGCCAUUCUGGGUGUAUCCCUCGCCAUCUGCAAAGCCGGUGCUGUUGAGAAGGGGGUCCCUCUGUAUCACCACAUCGCCGACUAGGCUGGAAACUCCAAAGUCAUCCUGCCAGUGCUGGCAUUCAAUGUCAUCAAUGGUGGUUCCCAUGCUGGUAACAAGCU